rnacentral:rRNA from 1 species
GAUGAACGCUAGCGACAGGCUUAACACAUGCAAGUCGAGGGGCAGCACGGGAGUAGCAAUACAACUGGUGGCGACCGGCGCACGGGUGAGUAACGCGUAUGCAACCUACCUAUCAGAGGGGAAUAACCCGGCGAAAGUCGGACUAAUACCGCAUAAAACAGGGGCACCGCAUGGUGAUAUUUGUUAAAGAAAUUCGCUGAUAGAUGGGCAUGCGUUCCAUUAGGUAGUUGGUGGGGUAACGGCUCACCAAGCCGACGAUGGAUAGGGGAACUGAGAGGUUGGUCCCCCACACUGGUACUGAGACACGGACCAGACUCCUACGGGAGGCAGCAGUGAGGAAUAUUGGUCAAUGGGCGGGAGCCUGAACCAGCCAAGUCGCGUGAAGGAAGAAGGAUCUAUGGUUCGUAAACUUCUUUUGCAGGGGAAUAAAGUGCAGGACGUGUCCUGUUUUGUAUGUACCCUGAGAAUAAGGAUCGGCUAACUCCGUGCCAGCAGCCGCAGUAACAC